UACGGGGGGGGCAAGCGUUGUUCGGAAUUACUGGGCGUAAAGGGUUUGUAGGUGGCUUGCUAAGUCAGACGUGAAAUCCCUCAGCUUAACUGGGGAACUGCGUCUGAGACUGGCAAGCUUGAGUGCAGGAGAGGAACGCGGAAUUCCACGUGUAGCAGUGAAAUGCGUAGAGAUGUGGAGGAACACCGAUGGCGAAGGCAGCCCCCUGGGCUGAGAUUGACGCUCAGGCACGAAAGCGUGGGGAGCAAACAGG
rnacentral:rRNA from 1 species